rnacentral:misc_RNA from 1 species
UUUCCGUAGGUGAACCUGCGGAAGGAUCAUUAAUGAGUUGUCAUGGGGUUCGAUGCUGGCAGCCAGUUUUUGGAUGCAUGUGCUUGCCCUAACAAUCAUCUUCUUCCAAACACCUGUGCACAUUUUGAGGGAGUCUUGAGUUGGUUGCCGCUCUUGGGUGAUUUUCUCACAUUCCCUUAAAUCAUUAUAACCUAUUAACAAUGUUGAACGUGCUCUGUUCCGCAAGGACAUUAAUAUAAUACAACUUUUAACAACGGAUCUCUUGGCUCUC